rnacentral:misc_RNA from 1 species
GAUGAAGAACGUAGCGAAAUGCGAUACGUAGUGUGAAUUGCAGAAUUCAGUGAAUCAUCGAAUCUUUGAACGCACAUUGCACCUCUCGGUAUUCCGGGAGGUAUGCCUGUUCGAGCGUCAUUUGUACCCUCAAGCUCUGCUUGGUGUUGGGUGUUUGUUCCGCCUCUGUGUGUGAACUCGCCUCAAAACAAUUGGCAGCCGGCGUACUUGUUUCGGAGCGCAGCACAUUUUACGAUCCAGAUCAACGUACAGCGGCAUCCAAGAAGCCUUAUUUAACGCUCUUGACCUCGGAUCAGGUAGGGAUACCCGCUGAACUUAAGCAUAUCAAAAGCGGAGGA